AAUAAGGCCAGGGAAACAGAUUGCGCCCUCUCUGCCCCUGCUUGUGAUGGGGAACAGGGGGUGAUCAACAUCGAGGCAUCGGCGUCCCUUAGAUGGAAGCAAACACCACCGGCUACACGUAGCGCAGAGCUGGGCUACCGGAGGCCGAGAGUUACCCUCUGGACUCUGUGAACUCUGGCUGGGAACAGUUUGCAAACCCAAGAGGGAUGGGAAGUGACAAUGGCUGUUUAAAGCUAUGAAAUCCUUUCUUCAGUUUUCUUCCGAUGUAUGCGAAAAGCCAGAAUUUAAAUCAUCUUUGGAGAGAUGCUCCUAAGCUUCUGAUAACAUUAAUUACUAUCUGCCCUCCUGGCCUCAUUGGUCACAUUUGAUCCUUUCCUCCAUGAACCUCUUUUCCCUUGGCUUCUGGGGCAGCACUCUGUUUUCCUCUGAGUGCUGCCUACUCCUCUUCUGAAUCUCUUGCCAGUCCUCCUCAUCUCUCUGGCCUCUAAACAUUGGAAUGCCCCGGGACUCAGUCCUCUCUACCAGUCUUCCCUCUGUUGUAUGCUCACAAGACACUGAUUAUCAUCUAUACACAUAAGACAUUUAAAUGUCUCUCUAAAGCCUGAACUUGCAGGCGGAAACGCCAAAUGUGAUUAUCCAUUCUGUGUCCACAGUAGAUGCUCCUCUGCCCCAAACCUGCAAUGGCUCCCCAUUUCCUUCUGUGCAAAGAUCAACUCUUUGCAGUGGCUUGUGGAAUUAUAAGUGAGCUGGCCCCUUUUACCUGCCUGGCCUCAUCUCACUGUGCCCCACCUUCCAGAAGGCUCUAAGCACCAGUCAACUUCAGAUACUUGGUUUUUGCUGUUUUCUCCCUCAAACGUCUGCAGUGCUUUCCUCUGACCUCUCUGCUUAAAUAUCCAUUAUCCACGAUGCCUUUGCUGACCGCUCUAUGUAAAAUAACAGACUCCAGCCCUUCUGAGUUUCCCUGGUCCUCCUCACCUAUGUUAUUUUAUACCUCACAUUUAUCUCUACCUGAUGUGCUGUGCAUUUUGCUUACUUACUUGUUUAUUAGCUUCCAUUCUCUACCAGAAGGAAAGCUCCUUGAGGGAGCUCUGCUCUGCUCACUGGUGUGCCCUUGUGCUUAGAACAGUAUUUGGUGCCUAGGCAGUGUUCAGUAAAUAUUUGUAAAAUGAUUCAUAAAAUCAUCUCCUGUAGAUUCAGAACUCAGAAGAGACCAUCUGGGUUAGGAUCUGGCCCAGCGUGAACUUGGUCAAAGGUCACUGCCAAGGAUAAUCCUCAAGACGGAAGUCUUGGGUAGAGACCAGGUUUUGCUGCAACCAUGCUCUGUGGUUUUAGACAGUUCGGGAAUAAAUCUACCAGACCACAGUUUCCUCGUAUGUUGAAUGGGUGCUGAUAUCUUACCAACAAGAAAAAAGUAAAGAUCAAUUGAGGGCAUGGACAUACUUCUGCCAAUUAGAUGGUUGAUCCUUUUUUUGCCCUGAAAAAGGAAUCAGGCUUGGCUCCUCUUUUUUUCUGGGUGAAGGAUAUGUGUCCAUUCAAUUCUGUUUGUCUUCCUUUGGCACAAGAGAGUAACGUGGGGUUUUUUGUUGUUACUGUUGUUGUUUCUAGCUUUAAGCAGGCAUUUUGUGGGUGGAUGUGAAAACAUUUGGCUUUAUUUUGAGGAUGGUUUCUUAUUUUAUCCUCUCUUGUUUAUGUAGGGGGUUUUGUUGUUGUUGUUGUUGUUGUAAUGUGAUAAAUGACCAGCAACUUCCCUGAACCCUAUGGAAAUGGUAUCCAGGCUACAGAAUAAUUAUUUAGUGAAUGGUGGAUCCAGUUUAUGUUGGCACGGAUCAAAUUAAUCAUGAUUAGUCAUGCCUUCUCUGACAGUAACCUCAUCCCUUGCAGAAAGGCUCCUCUUUAUUAAGAAGUAAUAGCUGUGAGGGAUGUCUGAGCCCCACUCUGGUUUCACUGCACUGUGGCUUUCCCCAUAUCUUGACAAGAGAGAUUAAAUAUAGAUUUAAUCCCAUCCAGAUUAGAACAAACCAGCAAACAAACAAAACCUCUCAUGAGGCCCUUCUCUCCUUGCCACUGUUGCCCGCCCUUGGAAUUCAACUUCUAGAAUGAAAAAGAAAAGUAAAAAAAAGCAAAGAGGCUUUGCAGUUUGCUCCUCCACCCACUCAAAUGGAACAUAAUCAAUAAUUAUAAUAGUAGUUAAAACAAACCUUAAGGAAGUGGUGUUUUAUUAUAGUGGGACUAAAUCCGCAGACUUUCUAUCCUGGUUCCCUUGCCAGUGCUUGGGUCCUGGGGACGAGGGUCCUCUUUAGCAUCUGAAAGGUGUGUAUGGACUGGCUUUGAAGAAUAAGGCAAGCUGGUUUCCCGGGAACCUUGAUGAGGAAGCCUCCUUUUCAGCUUCAGUCCAAAUGGAAAUGCAGGGCAUUUUCAUUUGGAAGAGAGAGCAGGACUACGUGGGCAGGCAGUGAACAGGGGAGUCAGGGAACCUGGCAUCAGCUCUAGUUGUGAGACCUUAGGAAAGCUCUUAACUUGCUGGAGCCUUUCUCAUUGCGUCUGUAGAGUGGAAUGGCAAUACAGAACAUUAUAUAGCCUUUAAAAGGAAGUUCUGACACCGGCUACAACAUGGAUGAACCUUGCGUAUGUUAUUCUAAGUGAAAUGCACCAGUCAUGGAAAGACAGAUGCUGUGGGAUUCUACUCCUACGAGGUACCUCGAGAUUUACGGAGACAGAAAGUAGAAUGGCAGUUGCCAGGAAGUGGGGGGUUGGAGGGAAUGGGAAAUCGGUGUUCAGUGGGUACUGAGUUUCAAUUUUACGAGACAAAGAGUUCUGUGGCUGGAGGGCGUGAUAGAGGUACACCAAUGUGAAGGUACUUAAUGUCACAUUUAAAAAUGAUUACGAAGGUAAAUUUUGUGGUGUAUAUAUUUUACCAAGAAUUUUUUUUAAGAUUAAAAGUAGGAUAAUAAUAAUCUCUAAAAAUCACAUCUUUGAGUGUAUGAUCUAUUAUGGUUCCCCCAAGUGGUGAGGAUGCUAUAAGAUGAAGAGAACAUUGGAGGCCAAUCUGUAGGGUCCCAGCAGAUAUGGAAAUGAGCCCCACACUUCCACCGCAGUGUGUAUUGGAAGGCCAGGCUCUGAGAGGGAGUAGCGUGUGCUUCCACAGAGCAGAUUUAGAGCCCAUAAGUAGGAGUGACAGGGAGGCAAAACCUCGUAUCAGUGUAGGAAAAUUUUUCUUUAAAAAAAUAAAUAAAAAGGCUGUCCAAGAUCCUACUCCACAGGAAGUAGUCAACUCCCUCUUUCGGGGGUGUCUAAGUGAAUGCUCUGGUCACGUGCAGAGUCCUUCCUGCUCUCGUGGGAUGCUGGGUGACAUAACUCGAAAUUGUGUUCCUUUCCAGCACUCUCUAGUCCUCUUCUUCUUUCCCUUGUCACUGGCAUGAGUGUUUCCUUUCAUUCUCCUAAAUAACAGCAUCUAUUACUACAAAAGAGAAAAACAACUCUGGAGUUAUUAAGGACUCCACAGGUUACGUGGGAGUAAAUAGAAUUAUCUAGAGACAGAUCAAAUCCGCUUGUAAGAAACUGUUUUGUUCUCAGAGGAGUCACCAACUGUGACUUGGACCUCAGACUUAAGGGUUUCCAAUUCAGCAAAGGGAAGGAAAUCCGCAAACUCAACUCACUGAAUUGGAUUUAAGCUUAGGAACACUUUACCUCCUUAAAAUGGCCAUAUUAAAAGCCUGUAAGAAAAAGAUUUUAUCAGUUACUAAAUUGUGGUAAGUGUUAUACAUGCUUAUAACGUUAAUCUUUGUGAUUAGUGCCAAUGGAGACCCACCUUAUCGGCCACAGCAUCCUAAUUCUGAGCUAGAGGUGUGUUGUUUGAGACAGGUGAAAAUUUUGUUUUUCUCGGAUCUUUAAAAAUUUGGCCUCCUCACUUAUUACAGGCUUGAUCAUUUUUACAUGCUUCUUGGAAAUACAGGGAAAUAACUUCAUAGUAUAAAGUCUGUCUCAGAUAAGCCUUUAAUAUAUUCAGUUCUUAAACUGACCAGUCUUCUGUCCCAAAGUUAAUGAGCUGAUAAUUAAAGUCAGAGUCGGUUCAUUCUGAAAUAGGCUCAGUGCCCUGAAAACUUUUGGUGAGAUGAAAUUAGAAUUUCCUAGAAUACUGGGACUACCUUUAUCAUAUUACUUAUCCUAAUGUUUUGGAAUAUUCUGAUGAUUUAUCUUUCCCAUAAUGGACUCUGAGCUACUGGAUAUAAGGAUUUGUGUCUCUUUUGCCUUGUUAUCUCUGUAGAGGAGUGCAGUAGUAGGUAUUCAGUAAAAGAACCUCAGAAUGAAUGGUGAAAGUCUAUAAUCAUCCUCUAUGGAGAGAAUCCUUACCUGUUGUUUGUAACCAGGUCGGUGGUGUUUAAGAGGGGAUUUCAGGAGACCUGAUACACUGGGGGCCAAUGGUAGGGGCCACGAGGGUGCUAAACCUAAUGGUAGAAACUUUCCUCCUUAUCUGUUUUACAUAUUAGGAUCCUGUGUAAAGUUUUCUCUAAGAAUAUUCUGAAAAACACACAGGGACAAAUACUUAAAACGUUAGGAGAUGCGUUCACGGUGUACAUGUAUGUGUGUACCUGUGUGGUGUGUCAUAUGUUGUAGAGCUUGGGAUGAGGUAUGAUGUUUUCAGGUUUCUUUACUCAGUUUAACUUUCCAUUAAAUACUUCUCAUUUGCAGGAAUUGGGUUGGUCACAAUAAAAUUGUUCCAUUAGGGAUCUGUCAAGACUAGCUAAGGAUUUUGCUCCUAUUAAAUGAAGUUUUUUGGUGAUUACCAAGUGUUUUGUUCUUUUCCUUCUGAGAAGAUUUGAACUUCCCAUUAGUGGAUUUAUACUGAUCCCUGCUUAACCAUAUCAGGCAAUGAAUUAUACAAGAAACCGGCAGUUUCUGAGUUGUUCCAAACCCUAUAAAGGACAUAGAGAAAUGCUUUUCACCAAGGACUGUUAUUUUGACAGUUGCUUCUGGUUCAAGAAACCCACAUCUCUUGUCAUUCCCUGUUCCCGCAGGGGUGCUGCAGUGAUAGGCUGUUGGACUCUUUUAUGUCUGCAAAGGGCUGUAUGACGAGAGAUGGGCAGAGUGACUUGUGUGGUAUAGAUACCCGCUGGGGACUUGCUUUAAGUGGCAGAAGAAAGAGGUGCAUGCGGAGUGGAAGAAAAGAGAAGAAAUAAGCCGGAGGCUCACCUGAAUG